rnacentral:rRNA from 1 species
UACGUAGGGGGCAAGCGUUGUCCGGAUUUAUUGGGCGUAAAGAGCGUGUAGGCGGCCAAGCAGGUCCGCUGUGAAAACUCGAGGCUCAACCUCGAGACGUCGGUUGAAACCGUACGGCUAGAGUCCGGAAGAGGAGAGUGGAAUUCCCGGUGUAGCGGUGAAAUGCGCAGAUAUCGGGAAGAACACCCGUGGCGAAGGCGGCUCUCUGGGACGGUACUGACGCUGAGACGCGAAAGCGUGGGGAGCGAACAGG